CAUCUAGGCGGUCAAUCAAGUCGAAGGUGAAACUUGUGGCUCAACCAUAAGCUUGCCUACGAAACUGAUUAACUAGAGUACUGGAGAGGUGGACGGAACUACACGAGUAGAGGUGAAAUUCGUAGAUAUGUGUAGGAAUGCCGAUGAUGAAGAUAGUUCACUGGACAGAAACUGACGCUGAAGUGACGAAAGCGUAAGGGGAGCAAACA
rnacentral:rRNA from 1 species